GUGAGUUAUUGGGAGAAUUCCUUCAGUCUGAAUAUGAACAACUCAAGGAGACUUCUACCUGGGCCCAAGGGAUGAUUGGGUGCGUAUUUUUGCUGAUCGGCGUGCCCAAUCUGAGCAGCUGGAGUUUACAGAUGGUGAUUAUCAAAAGGAACUUGAGCAUAUUGAAAAGGUUUUUGUCCCCUUGGUUGAAAAAUGCAAGAAAUACGGAAGAGCGAUGCGCAUUGGAACAAAUCACGGGAGUCUUUCAGAUCGUAUCAUGAUGAUCUGGUGAUUCUCCUAAGGGAAUGGCACCAUUUGAAGAGAAACAUCGAAGCUAUUUCGAUUUUCAAAGGAGAACUGGUGAUUUACCUGUGCAGAAGGAGGGUGAAGAGGUGGAUUAUAGAGGUUUACUCCACCGUGACGGUUCUGUUCUCAUGUCUGUUUCUUUGAAUCAACUCAAGACACCUGAACUCUUCUAUAGAUCACUAGCUGCAAAACUUGUGCUUGGUAUGCCAUUCAAGGUCAGUUCAUUCUUUGUCACAUGAUUUAUAAGAACUCGUGAAUGUUCCGUAACAUAUGUACUUCGUACUGAGGCUACUUCAACUUUAAAAGAUGAAACAAGGGUUACUAAAUAAAGUUCAAUAAGCAAUCCCAAACAGCCCUCUAAAAGCAUGAUUUUUCUUUCAACAACUUAUAUCAUGAAUUAGUUACUGUCAUUCAAUGGAAAUUUGUCACGGAUAUCUUAAGCUUGAAAAUACACUGUUGAAAGCGCAGCUCCUCGUGUUAAAAAUACUUAAAAUAUGUGAUUUUGGGUAUUCAAAGGUAAUUAAUUUACUAAGUUUUCAUAUUUGUUUUACGAGUCCUCAUACCAGAACUCAAAGAUUAGAUAAU